UUUGUCGUAGGCUGAACUCUAACGGAUAGCGAUCAUCAGUCGCAGACCGUGACUGAAAACAGCACUGCGCACGCGUCAUCCUAUCGCUCAGAGACGUCACGAUAAAUCGCUGCAUCAAUGCCUCGUCCACCUCCCGUCCUCGGAGCGGGUGGGAAGCUCGGGGUAAAAGAACCCUCGGCGCUGAUGGCGUCAAGGAACAAAGUGCGUAACCCGGGGGCAUGUCUAACUUGGUAGCCGUCAGGGUUUUCCCAAAUCUAUUUAAUUCACACGACUGUCAGCAACGAAUAUGUAGGCUCUCACAUCGAUGAAGACACUAGCGAAAUGUAGGUGAUGGUGGGGAAGCAGAAUCCCGGGAACCAUCGAGUUUUUGAAGGCAAGUUGAACAAGAAACCAUUAGUCCGAGGGCAAAAAAACCUGGGCGUCACGCCAAAACACGCUCCCAUCCACUCUCAAUGGGAAUCGGGAUGAGGCAUGUGGUCCCUCGUCUCUCAAGGGACGGGGGGAAGAAGAUUGUCAGUUUGGGGUACCGCGCCGGACACAGGGCUAGGUGGGAGUCCUUGCUUGAUCAAGGCAGGGCUUCCUGUGGGCAGUGCACAUUAUGGCCUAAAACGACCCAACAAAUUAAGCGCACGUCGCUUCGACCUCGACCUCAGAUCAGGCGGGAUUACCCGCUGAGUUUAAGCAUAUCAAUAAGCGGAGGAGGAUCCGUG
rnacentral:rRNA from 1 species